rnacentral:rRNA from 1 species
CAAUAGCGUAUAUUAAAGUUGUUGCGGUUAAAAAGCUCGUAGUUGGAUUUCUGCAUGGAAGGAGCGGUCCACCCAUUGGGCGCGUACGGCUACCUUUGAUGCAUCUUUCUGAGGACGUGUUCUUCACUUAAUUGUGAGGGCGCAGGACUCAGGACAUUUACUUUGAGGAAAUGAGAGUGUUUCAAGCAGGCAAAUGCCUUGAAUACGUUAGCAUGGAAUAAUAGCAUCGGACCAUCGUCCAGCUGUUGGUGUCUGGGCGAAGGUAAAGGUGAAUAGGGAUUGUUGGGGGCAUUCGUAUUUAACUGUCAGAGGUGAAAUUCUUGGAUUUGUUGAAGACGGACCACUGCGAAAGCAUUUGCCAAGGAUGUUUUCAUUGA